GGCUCCAUGGCCUCCUACCCCCCUCCACCACCGUAGGCACCAUGGCCUCCUACCCCCCUUCACCACCGUAGGCGCACACAGACAGCAGAUCCGUGCUGGAGAAGAGCAGCUCCAGUCACGGUUGGGUGCAGCCGCGACGAAGAUGAAGGAGCUCCGCCACUCGUCUUUGCCUCCUCGCCGUGUCCUUGUUGCUCCUCCUCCUCUCUCCCUCCGUUCCUAGCAGCGCAACAUCCAGGGACAAGGGGAAGGAGCAGCUCGACCCGGCUCCAUCUAUCUUUCCUAAAUGCACGAGGACUGGAGGAGCAGGUGGCAAGGGAAGCCAUCAUGGCCUCCAUAUCUCUUUCCGUCGUGCACGAGGACUGGUCGAGAAGGUGGCAAGGGAAGCCGCCAUGGCUAGCCGCGGUGCUGCACAGGGAUGCCUACCUCCGGGUUUCCGUCUUGUCUCCAAUCCCCUUCCGUUUCAGUGUGUGUUCUUUUUUCCUCUUGGCCCGAUCUGCUCACAUGUUUGGGGUUUCAUGUUGUAGGGAUCAAGUCUGGUGCGGGCGGUGUGGUAUAAUGCAUAGGUGUGUAAUCUUGGCUAUGACCUGUGCUGGUGAUUUGGCUGUCAACUUCUAAAUCUACUAAUCAUUCAAAAAUGUUGAACUUGUUGUCCUGCUGUGUGGACAUGUAUUGAUUAUGCUUUUAAGCACUGCGCUUUGUUGAUGCAGUGCCAUUUAUCUGGUACAGGAGAAUGUCAAUGGUAAAGCAUUUGGUUCUGAUGGAUCAUAUUAUUGGUUCUCUGUUCAACUAAAGAUGGCUUCAGAUAAGACUACGGUUUGAAUAUUCAUGUAUUAUUUUUCUGCAUGUUGUAGUUUCUUGUUCUUCUAUAAACUGGAAGGCCAAUAUAUAUUUCUCAAUGUAUCAUUUUGGGACUGUUUGACUGCUGAACAAUAUUGCCAUGCUGAUCAUUCUUCAUGUCUUUGCAAUUUUUGGUCUUUGUUUUGAUUUCGUUGUGUGGCUGUGCUUCGAUCCAGGUGAGUUGAGUUACGGCUUGGUUGGAGAUGUUGAUGUUGUUCGAGACGUGUGUUGGAUUCACCGUUUUCAAGGUUCUGAAUAAGGGCAAGUUUGACUAGGUCGAAGUGAGUGCUCUUUGCCACCUCAGCUCUUCGUUUGGUUUGGGUCACUCGUGUUUUUUUCUUUCGACGGCAAAAUAACUUCUCUUUUCAAAUCACUUAGUGUGUGAUAUAUAUAUCACAUUAUAACAGGGUAAGUCUGAAAAAGCCCUUUAUUUGAAUGAGCAAGAAUCCGUGGUGUGCUCCUGAGCUAUGUGUCCCUUUUCCAAAUGUUAGAAAGAUUAUCUUAACUUAGUUAUCACCUAGAAGUUGGCUUUGGCUACUAGGCCCCUUUGAUGUUUGCAUGACUUCCAAACCACAAGGAACACUCCAGAACGAAACUCACUUAAGCAGGCUGAUAGAUGAUACCUGUUCUCGAGCCUAUUUUCUCAAAAUAAUAAGAGGCUGAAUGCUUUAGACACUUGCCAACCAUCUUCUCACCUCGGCAUUUCGUUACACUUGAUUAUUGAUUCAUAAAGGAGUUGUUCCACAUUCACCAAUUCCCCAAACUGUAUGUACACAUUGCUUGCAAAGGAAACAAAUUUAAACCCUCUUCAAAAAAAAUUGGAUUGUUGUAAGGUUAAAAAAAUGCAUGUGUUAUCCUGUAAGCACUUGAAUUGAAUGGCAAAAUGAAAGGUAAAUCAGUAGUGGAUAAUCUUACCUUGUUAGCCUAUACAACACCACAGGUAGUAUGCAAUUGCCAACCCAUAUAUCCCCGGACAGGGCAUGCAGGUAGCUCUUGACCUUGCCAGAGAGUGUAAGUAGUUCAUUUGGUUCAUUUGUUUUGCGUUUUGACAUGCAUCAUUCGUUGCAUUUAUCUAUUCUUGAAAAACUGAUGAUAAAACGAAAUGAAUUUUCAAUGUUUGGAUUGAUGAUCAGUACUUGCUAUAUAAUGCAGUAUAUCAUUGUCUGCUUUGACAAAAUAUAUCAUGGUCAAAGAAUACAAAUAUUUCGCGAGUAGAAAAAGCAUACAGAUAUUAAUUAUCAGUAAAAAGAUGAAGUAUUCAGAUAUAAAAAUGCUUUCACCUCACUUGUCAGGCUAUUAUGAACUAUAUUUUUGGUGUAAUUUCCAUAUCAGAAUAAAACUGGCUCAUCCGAUGCUUGACUGUAUCUUAGCAUGCUUAUCGAGUACAUUCCUUAUGUCAUUUUUACAGAUAAAUUCAUUUGUGUCAAGUAUCACCUUUUGCCAUAUCAAUAUGAAAAGUUGUCAUAUAUUGGCCUGUCAAAUUUAUCAGGUGCCAAGUUCACUCCCAUAUUCUUAAUUUUGUUUCUUCUAAUUUUGGUAUUGGUGUGUGUAUUGUUAGUGAAAACAUGCUCUAAGGCAAGCAUGCCCUCUGUUACAGCUUGCUAGCCAUUUUUGUUUGUGAAUACGCAAGGGUGCCUUGCCUUCUCUGCUCUAUCAAGUGGGUGAGCUCAAUUUUUUAAGGCCAGUCAGGUGACUAAGCCAUAAAAAUAACAAGGAGAAGAGUCCCUUAUCAGUUGAUUCGAUCUUAUCUAGGUUCUAUUUUCUUUUAGGCCAUGAGUUUUGAUGUCUUGGUAAGAGCUACAAAUACAUUCAAAGAGUAAAUCUGUUUUCUUCUACUGAAUUUCUGUACAUUGUAUGAAAAGGGUGCACCUAUAACGCCCAGUAGAAAUUUCAGCUGAGGGAUUUGUGCAGACUUACAAAGCUAUCAUGAUAGAUGUUAGUGAUUGAAUUGUUGGGGUCGCUGGAAACGGGGUGGCUCGAAGCAAAUCAGUUACUUAUUCAGUAUCUUUAACACUCAUGGAAACGUUAUAUGCCCAUCCUAAAUUCCUAAUUACUCCCUCCGUCCCAAAAUAAUUGUCCCAACCUUAGUAUAAAUUUGUACUAAAGUUAGUACAAAGUUGAGACACUUAUUUUGAGAUGGAGGGAGUAUUAUUGUAUCAUAUAACUGAAAGUGCAUUAGACCAGUGGUGUUAUGAGAAAUAAACAAUUUUUGUCCCAUAGCUGAACUGUUUCUUUUCUCAGUGUUUAUAUAUGUCAGAGAUGUGUAUGAUUUAGAUAAUUCUCUUCAUUUGUUAACUUUACCGCUUUAUUUUUGACAUGCUUCAUUAUGUUAAUCAAAGGCACACAUCUGACCUCCGGGAAACGAGCAAGCACAUCAAGCCACUACCAGAUUUCCACCCUUCCCUAUACACGUUGGCCCAUCUAUGAGGUACCAACCAGCUCCAUGGCCAAAAUCAAAACCCAUCGCAAAGACCUCAUGCUGAAGGUUUGUAACAUCCCAAAAUUCUAAAUUUUGGAAUGUUAUAAACAAAUAGAUAGAUUUGAUUGGUUGCUUGAUUGAUUGACUGAAAGUGAGUGAAUUCGAAACUUUUUGAAAGUUAAAUGAGAGGGAAUAAAAGGACUUUCCCAAACUUUCAUUUUUGCAUUUUAUGCUCUUCGUGAAUUCAAAUUCUUUUCAACACAAAAACCUUGGAGAGAAGAUGACAUGACUUCUUCCAUUUAUUUAAAUGACAAGGGGUGUUGAGAAUAUUUGAAUUUCAUUUGGAAAUAUUCCAAUUCUGAAACUUUAUGCGACUCAAUGAUUUUCACGAGAGAAGAUAAAAUGACUUCUUCAAAUUAUAUGAAAUAUGAGUUGGGAGUUUCAAAGAAUUAAAUUCAAAGCCCCUUUGAAUUUAUUUUCAAUUUGAAAUAGAUCAUCAUGCAUAUUUUAUUUUCUUGCAUUUUGGUCGAUCCUAGAAAUUUCACGCAACUCAAGGACCCUUGGAGAGAGUUGGAGAUUUCGUUAUUUUCAUAUUGAGAGUUUUCUCGAAUUGAAAAGAGGGUCAUUUGAUUUAUUUAUUUUAUCUUCAAUAAUUUUUCCGUUAUCAAAAAAAAUAUAAGAGAGGGAAUAAUAUGACUUUCCCAAAGUUAGGAAAAAAAUGAAGAUCUAAUAGAUAAAUCAAUUUUGUUUGCCGGAGUUUUAUUCGCAUUUUAUUUGGAUAGGGAAAAAAAUGCGUGUUUUCAAAAAUUGUUUUUUAGGUCCGGAGAAAAGUUCAUUUUGUUCGGCUCAUUUUUAGGAGUCGGGGAAAAUUUACUUUAUUAAUUUUGAAGUUCGUUUACAUUUUCUUUUAUUUAUUUUUUUGCGCGCGAGACCGUUUAAAAAAAAAAGAAAAAAAAUCCACAGCGCCUUGGGCCAAAGGCCCAAGCCACUAGCCGCCGGCCGGCCAAGAGGCCAUAGCGCGCGUGCACCAGGGAGCCGCCGCUUCUUUCUUUCCUAGUCCUAGUAGGACUCUUGUCCUAUGUUCGUUUAUUCCGUAUCUAAUUCUAGAUCUUUUCCUCUUGUUUCCUAAUCCUAAUCUAUUUCUUGUCCCCUACCCCAAGCAAAACCCUCCCCUCCCCAAUAUAAAUACCCAAGCACCCCCCCUCUAAACACAUCAAACCUCUCCUCUCCUCUCCUCUCCUCUCCGCCGCCCCAAGCCGCGCCUCACCNNNNNNNNNNNNGCCGCGCCCAACACCGCCCAACCCCGCGCCCUAGUGCCGCCGCCGCCGCCCUGCGUCAACGCCGCCGUCGCCGCCGUUCGCCGGAGGUACCGCGCCGCGUCUCUUCUUUCCCUCGGUUCAGUUUUUCUUAUAAACCGUUCCGAUUCUUUUCUUCUCUACCGAUUCGUUUUCUUUCCGAUUUUUCGCUAAACCGUUCCGGUGUUCUAGAUCGGUUUUUCGUUUCGAUCUCUUUUCCGAAAACCCUAGAUUGGUUUUCGUUCUUCUUUCGGACCGUUCGUCUCAACGAACGUGAUCACCGAUUAUUUCCCGGUUAACGACGUCUGUUCGUAUAACCGUUCUUCUUUUUCUUCUCGUCGGAUUUAUUCCGCGAUCGCGAUCUCAGAUCCGAUCUUCGUUCUAGUUUAUCUUCUCGCUCGUUUAUCGGAAUCAGGUGAUUCAAGCGCCUGGAGUUUCAUCUCGAAACCGCCGUUUCGUCUAAUCAACUUGAACAAGCUUAUGCUACAGUAAAAAUUUGACCUAGUUUCAACUUGCUAGAACCGAGUUGUUUUCUUUCGCCGUUUGUUUUUUGUAGUUUGUUCGGUUCGUUCUUUCUUUGCAACCGGAGUUCUUAAGUUGAACUUUCUGGUUCGUUCUCUUGUUCGAUUUUUUUCCUGUGCAUUAGAUGAGUACUUAUUGUGUGGUUACUAUUGUUUGCUUACGAUAGAUUGACCGGAGUGUGACGAUUAGAUCUAUCACGAGUUUUGAGUGCGAAUCAUCUUCAUCAACAUUGCAGGCAAGUAAUACUUGAUCAUAUCUUUCCUACUACCCAGUUUUAUUGCAUUAGAUCCAACCCUCAAACACUUGCAUUGUUUAGGAUCUAAAUUAAAUUGUGGGAUUGGGAAGUAGAUGAGGUAGUACCUAUUACCUGUAGUAUUAUGAAACCUUUGGGAGUUACUCUACGUUUGCUUAUAUUGCCAUGCUAUGCUAGUAGACGUGGAUUGGGUGAGUGAUAUCCAUGACAGAUGUGAGAUUGAUAAUUUUAAUGGUUUAUCUAAGGUGGCAACUUAAACACACAUCUGGGUGGAUUGAGGCACCUGAUGUCUAUCAGGACUUGCCUGUUUUUUUUUCGGACCGCCACCCAGGCUCAAAGGGAUCAUAAGAUAAUUCAUACUAGUAACUUACGUGUGCAGCCACAAGCCAUUAUGGGCUCUGGCAUAGUUGACUAAGUUGUGCGAACUCUUAUAGUGGUGGACUAGCAGAUGUAGGGGAUGUAGGUGUACCGGUCCACCCAUCGUAAGGUGCUAGCGCUUCUGAAAGACUAUGUCUCGGUCAUCCGUUUCUUAAACACCAUGAAGUGCGAGAAAACAAGCGGAGGCGAUCGAGUCUUGUGGGGAAAAGUGCGCAACCUCUGCAGAGUAACAAACUAAUCAUGAUUAGCCGUGUCCCCGGUUAUGGACAACUUGAGUAUCUAGUACUUGAAUAUCAUUGUGAAUCUCAACAUGUUACUUCUAAUAAAAGCUAUUGGGUUUUAAUGAUUACUUUUAAUUGGGAUUGAGGAUGCUGUCAACCAUUCUCAAUGUUUCACAACCACCAUGAUAGUUAAACAAAAUUAUUCCUUUGAUGUAGGGAAAAAUUGGCUUUUCGCAAAAACUGUAACCAUAGAGCCUUACCACCAGUCAUAUAUGCAUGUAGUAUAGCCUAUUCUUUCAUUACUCUCUAUGUGUUACAUUGCCAGCAUAUUCCAUGUGCUGACCCGUUUUCGGGCUGCAACUUUUCAUGUUGCAGACUUUUCAGACGACGAGUAAGUGGUACGUUAGGGUUACGAUUUCCUAUACUCAACUUUGCCGUUGGUGUUGAUGGGAAUCCACAACCUUGUUGCUUCCGCUAUAUUUUGGAUUGAGGUAAUAGUUUUACGUUACUAUAUACAUGUGAUUUACCUCUGUUAUAAAUCCUUCGAGUACUGUGUGUGUCAGCAUACUGAUCCAGGGAUGACACAUAAGCACAGAGACUUGAUCCAUUCGGGUCGGGUCGCUACAAGAUGGUAUCAGAGCACAUGUUGACUGUAGGACGUGACCCUAGAAAAUGACAAGCCCAUAGGAAAGAUUUUUCUCUACAACUUUCCCUUUCAAAAGAUCUUUUACCUCUCUUCUCUUCUGAGUUUAUUCAAAUAUUCCCUUUUUAGUGAGACCAUACCCCUUUUCCCUUUUGACCACUCGAAGAUUUGACUGAUGAGACCACUCCAAGGAGACAAGAUAUCGGACAACCAAGACCAUUUGGAAUGAAGAGGAUUUUACCGUGUAAAUGGAAACUACAACUGUUGAAGACUCCGAAGACUUGGAGAAUUUGAAGGCUCUGAAGAAUUCCCAAAUUUGUAUGACCCAGGAAGGCUACCUUUAUGGAACCUGGCAGACUAUGGAAGUUAUCAAUACCGAGAUCAAGGUGUAUCGGAGAAAGACCGGAGCAUGGAGAGUUAGUAACUCAAAGUUUUGUCAAGAAAACUCUAAGACAGGAGAUAUCAAUCAUGAAAUGAAAGCUCAUGGCAGUAACAUGGGCAUAGACAUGGCUAACGAUGGUGUUAUUGCCCGCCUAUGCUAUUGUCACCGUGCGGAGUUAAGCAUGCAGAUGCAUGGAAGGAUUGGAUGGUAGAAAGCUGAUGGAGCAUCUAUCUGCAAACGUUGGAGUGUUAACCUUAGCUGGUGUAUACACCAGGAUCUGGAGUGUUACAUCAGGAAGUUAAGAUGGACCUACAAGAAGCAAUAUUUGACAAUAAGGCAAUUGGUGAAGAACUCAGGACCCAGAAGCUGAAAGUAGACAAGAUGAAGGAGCAAAACAUCGAGAUACCGGAGAUUUGACAAUAACUGAAGGACAGUAGGAUCAUGGAUCAUGUCAAGGAUGUUGAAACCGGCAGUUGGAACGUAACUCCAGAAAUAUUGAAGGACGUCGCGAGAGACUUCGCGUCAACAGAGAUGAUCUGGCAAAAGAACUUGAGCACGACAAGCACGAUUGAAAGAAGCCAUCGGAGACAUGAACAUGACUUGAAGAGUUUGGAGACGUUGAAGAUUCAUUGACCUUUAGAAGACCAAACCCCUAUUAUAUACCUACGUUAGAUGCGACGUUUGUGAGCUGUCAUUUGUAUGAUGUUUUUUUCGACAGCCACAAUAAAAUCUGUCUUUUCAAAACUUUUUUUUGUAUUGAGUGCAUCCCUCUCGAUCUCUCUUAUUCCACCCCAAAUCCAUGGACCCAAUAGAGGAUGAAUGGAGAUGAACUUGUACUCUCUGGACCGAUGAGUCAAUUGGAGAUGGACCGAUGGAUUCAGAACAUGAGGAUCACAUGGAGAAUAACCCUAUAGCCGGAAAGGAUAUGACCCAGCACGCUCUUCCAUUCUUUGAAAGAAGUGUUGCUACCUGGUGGAGGAUGUACCAAACCCUCAACGGAUGACAAGGAGUAACUACUUGGGAAGAAUUUAAGUUGACUUUGCUAAAGUCUCAGUUUGUGACCCAGAAGUUGAAGCCUUAUGGAAAAGAUAUGAAGAAACCUUGUGCGUACAAGCUCUGUGGAGAAAUAGGACACAACCAUAAAGAAAAGAAGGACGAAUACCCUCAUAAGUAGAGGAUUAUCAAAGGAGUUAGCCGAGGAUUUUCAGGGAACUUCGAUUGGAGAUUGUUCCCAAAGGUUUUGUUGCAGCAAUGGAAGUUCAGUUUACAUUGUUGGAAAAGAUCCGUGAAGCUCAGAAGGAUGACAAAGAGAUUGCUGAGGUAAAAGAGAGGAUGAACAAAGGAAAGGCCAAAGGUUUUCAUAAGGAUGAACACGACACCUUAUGGUUUGAGAAUAGUGUAUAUGUGCCAAUAAUGCAAAGAUCAGGAAGUUAAUACUUCAGGAGGCUCAUGACUCACCAUACUUGAUUCGCCCUGGAAACACCAAGAUGUAUUUGGAUUUGAAGGAGUGUUUCUGGUGGACUGGUAUGAAGGAGGAUAUUACGGAGUAUGUAGUCGUAAGUGAUGUAUGUCAGAGAAAGUAAAAGCAGAGCAUCAGAAGUCAGCAGGAUUAUUGCAGCCUAUGCUAAUACCUGAAUGGAAGCAGGAUAAGCUUGGCAUGGAUUUCAUUACCAGAUUUCCCAGAACCCGAACGGGAUAUGAUUCUAUCUGGGUAAUAGUUUAUUCGCUUGAUCAAAGUGGCUCGCUUUAUCCCAGAGAGAACCACCUAUACAAGUGCGAAGUUGGCCAAGAUAUAUAUUUGAGAAAGGAUCGUAUGUCUGCAUGGAGUUCCGAGGACCAUCGUAGAGGAACGCAGUUUUCCUCAAAGUUUUGGAAUCAGCUGCACCAGACUUUGGGUACUAGGCUAGAGUUCGGUACAGCCUUUCAUCCGCAGACAGAUGGAUAAAUCAAGAGAGUCAAUCAGAUUUUGGAGGACAUGUUGAGAGCGUGUGCGCUAGAUUAUGGAUCUAGUAGUGAUGAUAAUUUACCUCACGCGGAGUUUCUCAUUCAAGAAUAGCUACCAAGUCAGUUGGAAGAUGGCCCCUUUUUGAAGCUUUGUAUGGGAGAAAGAGCCAGACACCGUUGAUGUGGGAUGAAGUUGGAGACCGUCAGUUGUUUGGACCAAAUGUGAUCAAGGAGUCAGAAGAGAAUGUUAAGUUGAUUCGAGAUAGACUGAAGGUAGCUCAGUCCAGGUAGAAGAGUUAUGCAGACUUAAAAACGCAAGGAGGUAGUCUAUGAAAUUGGAGAUAGAGCAUGUCUUCGUGUGACCCCUCUGCGAGGAGUUAAACAAUUUGGAGUUAAGGGACAGUUAGCCCCGAGAUUUGUAGGACCAUACCGAGUUUUGGAGCGUAUGAGAGAAGUGGCCUACAAGUUUGAGUUACCCGAAGGACUGUCAGGAGUUCAAGAUGUGUUUUACGUUUCCCAGUUGAAGAAGUGCCAUGCAGAGAUGGCCAAUAUUCCCCUGUAAGGACGCUUGACACUGGAAAGGAUAAUGAUGUUCCACGAAGUGGAGUAUGGAUUUCAUAAGUAUAAGUUUUAUCACGGUAUGUGGGACAUCCCACGAGGAUGAAGAGAUGAAGUGUUAUUGGAUAUAAAGGAGGUAUGAUGUUGGAAAUAUGGAUCAAUGGAAAUUCCAUGAAGAGUCUGAGUAAUCAUGUCCUAGUUUGGUGCCAAUAGAAGGAAGGAAGACAGUACAAUUGGAUGGAUUUAAGAAUACUAGGAAGUUGGAAGUUGGAAUAAUGAACAGUUGCCCGAUGAUGAGUUCAAGAUUUGCAAGUGAUGAGAUGGGCCAUAACCCACAGGCCCCAGGACCUGCCAAGAAGCAAGCACACUCUUGCUGAAGGAAAAACCCUGGAAGAAGUUACGACUUGUAUCAACCGACGAUUCUAUAGGAGUUUACGCAAAACCUGAGAGUUGUUAAGUAACGAUAGAUGUUUGUUUGGCUUGCAGAAUCUAUGGAUUUUCCAAACUUGGUUCGUCGACAAGAAGAAUUCUGCAAUGCUUGUGAGGAUGACCGAGUGUUAGAAUGCGAGAUUCGCUAAACCAUGUACAAGGAAAUGAUUUGGGUGCGGGAUGGAUUGAUCACCAUACCGACUUACUCUUAUUAUUCGCUUUGCUAUAUGGGAUGGUAAAUCUGAGUGACUUACCUAUAGUGGAGAGACGACGAUCAAAACCUUGUUUGAACCUUAGAAAGGUAUAGGUAUUUUUUUCCCUUGUACACGGCAGUUGUUGCCAACCGUAGGUUAUACGGUGAGGAUCACACAGACCCUUUCCUGCAGGAGAAACCAUAAAUUGUUGACCACCACGAGAUAUCGAUAGUUGUUUAGCAUUGGCGUCAGACCCGUCAGCUAUGAAGACCCAGUUUCGGGAUAACCUUACCAAGAUGAAAGGACAAAGGAAUUGAGGAAAAGGUUAUGCCACUACCGGAAGAGCCCAGAGAAGGGAUUAUCCUUAAUAUCUGAGAAGACUGACACUGUCAACGAUAAGGAUGGAGUAUAUGAGUUUUGAUGGAACCGUAACAAUGUUUCUAAGGGUGGUAGCACCCGAGACCUCGGAGAUGAUCGAUGGACUUUGAGAAGACCCCAAACCCUAACCUAUUCUUUCUAGCCUCUCCGAAUCUCGAGGACGAGAUUCAUUUUAAGGGUGGUAGUUUGUAACAUCCCAAAAUUCUAAAUUUUGGAAUGUUAUAAACAAAUAGAUAGAUUUGAUUGGUUGCUUGAUUGAUUGACUGAAAGUGAGUGAAUUCGAAACUUUUUGAAAGUUAAAUGAGAGGGAAUAAAAGGACUUUCCCAAACUUUCAUUUUUGCAUUUUAUGCUCUUCGUGAAUUCAAAUUCUUUUCAACACAAAAACCUUGGAGAGAAGAUGACAUGACUUCUUCCAUUUAUUUAAAUGACAAGGGGUGUUGAGAAUAUUUGAAUUUCAUUUGGAAAUAUUCCAAUUCUGAAACUUUAUGCGACUCAAUGAUUUUCACGAGAGAAGAUAAAAUGACUUCUUCAAAUUAUAUGAAAUAUGAGUUGGGAGUUUCAAAGAAUUAAAUUCAAAGCCCCUUUGAAUUUAUUUUCAAUUUGAAAUAGAUCAUCAUGCAUAUUUUAUUUUCUUGCAUUUUGGUCGAUCCUAGAAAUUUCACGCAACUCAAGGACCCUUGGAGAGAGUUGGAGAUUUCGUUAUUUUCAUAUUGAGAGUUUUCUCGAAUUGAAAAGAGGGUCAUUUGAUUUAUUUAUUUUAUCUUCAAUAAUUUUUCCGUUAUCAAAAAAAAUAUAAGAGAGGGAAUAAUAUGACUUUCCCAAAGUUAGGAAAAAAAUGAAGAUCUAAUAGAUAAAUCAAUUUUGUUUGCCGGAGUUUUAUUCGCAUUUUAUUUGGAUAGGGAAAAAAAUGCGUGUUUUCAAAAAUUGUUUUUUAGGUCCGGAGAAAAGUUCAUUUUGUUCGGCUCAUUUUUAGGAGUCGGGGAAAAUUUACUUUAUUAAUUUUGAAGUUCGUUUACAUUUUCUUUUAUUUAUUUUUUUGCGCGCGAGACCGUUUAAAAAAAAAAGAAAAAAAAUCCACAGCGCCUUGGGCCAAAGGCCCAAGCCACUAGCCGCCGGCCGGCCAAGAGGCCAUAGCGCGCGUGCACCAGGGAGCCGCCGCUUCUUUCUUUCCUAGUCCUAGUAGGACUCUUGUCCUAUGUUCGUUUAUUCCGUAUCUAAUUCUAGAUCUUUUCCUCUUGUUUCCUAAUCCUAAUCUAUUUCUUGUCCCCUACCCCAAGCAAAACCCUCCCCUCCCCAAUAUAAAUACCCAAGCACCCCCCCUCUAAACACAUCAAACCUCUCCUCUCCUCUCCUCUCCUCUCCGCCGCCCCAAGCCGCGCCUCACCNNNNNNNNNNACUUGAUCAUAUCUUUCCUACUACCCAGUUUUAUUGCAUUAGAUCCAACCCUCAAACACUUGCAUUGUUUAGGAUCUAAAUUAAAUUGUGGGAUUGGGAAGUAGAUGAGGUAGUACCUAUUACCUGUAGUAUUAUGAAACCUUUGGGAGUUACUCUACGUUUGCUUAUAUUGCCAUGCUAUGCUAGUAGACGUGGAUUGGGUGAGUGAUAUCCAUGACAGAUGUGAGAUUGAUAAUUUUAAUGGUUUAUCUAAGGUGGCAACUUAAACACACAUCUGGGUGGAUUGAGGCACCUGAUGUCUAUCAGGACUUGCCUGUUUUUUUUUCGGACCGCCACCCAGGCUCAAAGGGAUCAUAAGAUAAUUCAUACUAGUAACUUACGUGUGCAGCCACAAGCCAUUAUGGGCUCUGGCAUAGUUGACUAAGUUGUGCGAACUCUUAUAGUGGUGGACUAGCAGAUGUAGGGGAUGUAGGUGUACCGGUCCACCCAUCGUAAGGUGCUAGCGCUUCUGAAAGACUAUGUCUCGGUCAUCCGUUUCUUAAACACCAUGAAGUGCGAGAAAACAAGCGGAGGCGAUCGAGUCUUGUGGGGAAAAGUGCGCAACCUCUGCAGAGUAACAAACUAAUCAUGAUUAGCCGUGUCCCCGGUUAUGGACAACUUGAGUAUCUAGUACUUGAAUAUCAUUGUGAAUCUCAACAUGUUACUUCUAAUAAAAGCUAUUGGGUUUUAAUGAUUACUUUUAAUUGGGAUUGAGGAUGCUGUCAACCAUUCUCAAUGUUUCACAACCACCAUGAUAGUUAAACAAAAUUAUUCCUUUGAUGUAGGGAAAAAUUGGCUUUUCGCAAAAACUGUAACCAUAGAGCCUUACCACCAGCCAUAUAUGCAUGUAGUAUAGCCUAUUCUUUCAUUACUCUCUAUGUGUUACAUUGCCAGCAUAUUCCAUGUGCUGACCCGUUUUCGGGCUGCAACUUUUCAUGUUGCAGACUUUUCAGACGACGAGUAAGUGGUACGUUAGGGUUACGAUUUCCUAUACUCAACUUUGUCGUUGGUGUUGAUGGGAAUCCACAACCUUGUUGCUUCCGCUAUAUUUUGGAUUGAGGUAAUAGUUUUACGUUACUAUAUACAUGUGAUUUACCUCUGUUAUAAAUCCUUCGAGUACUGUGUGUGUCAGCAUACUGAUCCAGGGAUGACACAUAAGCACAGAGACUUGAUCCAUUCGGGUCGGGUCGCUACAAGGUUACCAAACAAAGUGUCAUGUUUCUCUAUGAACACGUGAUAAGAUGAUAUGAGCCCCUUUGUGGCUUUGUCUGCAGAUUCAGCUGCAGUACACCUGAUGGUGCAGCAGUCAUUUGUUCCUUGUCUAGAAUGGCAUGUUCCUCUGGUUGCUUAUGAUAAAAAAGGUAGGGCUGAGUUUGAGACAAAUUAUUUCUGAUAAGAAGAUGUUGUCUUUCAAUUGUAUAUUCGUUGUUCUCUUGAUUUCAUUUGUUUCUUAUGCAAGGGUUCUCUCAAAAAUUAUUUUUGUAGGCAAGACAAAACUAAAAAGGUGAUCUGGCAUAAGUGGAAGGAGGGAAGCUGCCGUAAGAUCUGACAAUAACUUGCCUCCGCUCUAACAAGAGCAUGUUCGUUCAGACCUUACUAAAAGUUAUUUAUAUAUAGUAGGUGUUUCCAUUGUAACUAUCAAAUUCAAACUCCUAGAUGUCUAUGUCAGGAUGUAGGACGUAGUCCAGGCAGGGAUAUCCCCGUUGAUCUUUUCGUGGAUCCUUUCACACUUCAUUCUGCAAAGUGCUGGUGAUUUAAAUAGAAUCUCUCUGUUCAAAACACAAUAUAAUUCAAGCUACUAGAAGAGCUUGUUCAUUCAGACCUUUCCUUACAUUUUAACUAUGACAGUGAUCUCUUUUAUUUGUGUAUGUAACGAUCAUAUGCAUAAAUAGUUGAAAAUGGUGUCUGAAUGGCACAUCUUUAGCUAAUUUUUACC
rnacentral:lncRNA from 1 species